ACACAUGCAAGUCGAGGGGCAGCAUGGUCUUAGCUUGCUAAGGCCGAUGGCGACCGGCGCACGGGUGAGUAACGCGUAUCCAACCUGCCUUACACUCUUGGACAGCCUUCUGAAAGGGAGAUUAAUACAAGAUGUUAUCAUGAGUAAGCAUUUUCACAUGAUUAAAGGUUUACCGGUGUAAGAUGGGGAUGCGUUCCAUUAGAUAGUAGGCGGGGUAACGGCCCACCUAGUCUUCGAUGGAUAGGGGUUCUGAGAGGAAGGUCCCCCACAUUGGAACUGAGACACGGUCCAAACUCCUACGGGAGGCAGCAGUGAGGAAUAUUGGUCAAUGGACGAGAGUCUGAACCAGCCAAGUAGCGUGAAGGAUGAAGGUUCUAUGGAUUGUAAACUUCUUUUAUACGGGAAUAAACGAAUCCACGUGUGGAUUUUUGCAUGUACCGUAUGAAUAAGGAUCGGCUAACUCCGUGCCAGCAGCCGCGGUAAUACGGAGGAUCCGAGCGUUAUCCGGAUUUAUUGGGUUUAAAGGGAGCGUAGAUGGGUUGUUAAGUCAGUUGUGAAAGUUUGCGGCUCAACCGUAAAAUUGCAAUUGAUACUGGCAGUCUUGAGUACAGUUGAGGUAGGCGGAAUUCGUGGUGUAGCGGUGAAAUGCUUAGAUAUCACGAAGAACUCCGAUUGCGAAGGCAGCUUACUAACCUGUAACUGACAUUGAUGCUCGAAAGUGUGGGUAUCAAACAGGAUUAGAUACCCUGGUAGUCCACACGGUAAACGAUGAAUACUCGCUGUAGGCGAUAUACAGUCUGCGGCCAAGCGAAAGCAUUAAGUAUUCCACCUGGGGAGUACGCCGGCAACGGUGAAACUCAAAGGAAUUGACGGGGGCCCGCACAAGCGGA
rnacentral:rRNA from 1 species